UCGACCUGAGCUCAGGCAAGACUACCCGCUGAACUUAAGCAUAUCAAUAAGCGGAGGAAAAGAAAUCAACCGAGAUGCCCUUAGUAACGGCGAGCGAACCGGGCAAAGCCCAACUUGAAAAUCUCCAGCCUAUGGCUGGCGAAUUGUAGUCUAGAGAAGCGCUCUCUGCCCCACCCCGGCCCCAAGUCCCCUGGAAAGGGGCGUCAAAGAGGGUGAGAACCCCGUUGGGACCGGAUUUUGGGGCUCCACGAGACGCUUUCGUAGAGUCGGGUUGCUUGGGAAUGCAGCCCAAAGAAGGUGGUAAAUCCCAUCUAAGGCUAAAUACAGACGGGAGACCGAUAGCGAACAAGUACCGUGAGGGAAAGAUGAAAAGAACUUUGAAAAGAGAGUUAAAAAGUACUUGAAAUUGUUGAGAGGGAAGCGAUUGGAUCCUACGGGUGCGCCCAGGCACACGCCUGCCUAACGGUUGGCUGAAUGCGCUGGGUGCUGGUCAGCAUGGGUUGUCCGGGCGGGAUAAAACCGGGGGUUGUUACCCCGGCUAUGUCGCCUGGCCGACCGAGGAACGAAGGGCGCUCUUUGA
rnacentral:rRNA from 1 species